AACGAACGCUGGCGGCAUGCCUAACACAUGCAAGUCGAACGAGAUCUUCGGGUCUAGUGGCGCACGGGUGCGUAACGCGUGGGAAUCUGCCCUUUGGUUCGGAAUAACAGUUGGAAACGACUGCUAAUACCGGAUGAUGACGAAAGUCCAAAGAUUUAUCGCCAGAGGAUGAGCCCGCGUAGGAUUAGUUAGUUGGUGUGGUAAAGGCGCACCAAGGCGACGAUCCUUAGCUGGUCUGAGAGGAUGAUCAGCCACACUGGGAGUGAGACACGUCCCAGACGCCUAGGGGAGGCAGUAGUGGGGAAUGUUGGACAAUGGGAGAAAGACAGAUACAGCAAUGCCGCGUGAGCGAUGAAGGCCUUAGGGAUGUAGAGCUCUUUUACCGGGGAUGUUAAUGACAGUAGCGGGAGAAUAAGCGCCGGCUAAGUCCGUGCCAGCAGCCGCGGUAA
rnacentral:rRNA from 1 species